AUGAGACUUUGGGUCGCUGCUGUUUUCAUUGUAGCGGCUUUGGAAGGUGCCCGGUGCCAGGUGCAGCUGGUGGAGUCCGGAGGGGAUGUGAAGAAGCCCGGAGACUCUCUGCGCCUCUCCUGCAAAGCCUCCGGCUUCACCUUCAGCAGCUACUGGAUGACCUGGUUCCGGCAGGCUCCCGGGAAGGGGCUGGAGUGGGUCUCUGAUAUUAGCACGGAUGGAAGCACCACGCGCUAUGCAGACACCCUGAAAGGCCGAGUCACCAUCUCCAGGGACAAUCCCAACAACCUGCUGCACCUGCAACUGACCGGCCUGAAGGCCGAGGACACCGCCCGCUAUUACUGUGCGAGAGACACAGUGACAGGAAACCUGCGGGUGGUCAGACAAAAACCCGGGCUGCAGAAUCCGCCUUUCCCCGUUCACCACAAGGGGGCAGAAUAUCCACAAACAGCUCAUCCUGAGAGCUGCGGACCCCGCCCUGUGUUACCGUGUCAGAGACACAGACCGGCCCGAGGGCAGCUCUCGCUGUGUGAGGGCCCUGAAGCGCGCUGGGGGCUCGAGUCACACAAGGGGCUGAGGCUCCUUCUUAGAACGCCGGGCUCCCCAUGGAACCUACAGCCUCGAACCCACCGCCCGGCCUCAGUCCCCCCCAGCUAG